GCUUGAAGGUGAGUCGGAGCUGUGGCUCUAAAAAUUCAAAGACUCCCUUUCUGCUAUCUGGCAUUUGCCCACAGUCUCAAGGUAAACCACAGAAAACCUUGAGCAGAUAGAUAGGAAGCGCACACGU